rnacentral:rRNA from 1 species
CCGGCCUUGUACACACCGCCCGUCACACCACGAAAGUCGGCAAUACCCGAAGCCGGUGUGCUAACCGCAAGGAGGCAGCCGUCGAAAGGUAGGGUCGGUGAUUGGGGUG